AGAAUCAGUGCUUACUGAGCAUCCUCCACAAGGCAGCAAGGUAUCUUAGAUAUGGAGAGAUGUAGCGGGGAUCCUGCAGAGAGUAGUGUGGGAGAGGAGUGCCCUCAGGCCUCUCUGAUAUCAGAACCAUCUGCACAGGCUAAACAGACAUCGAUUCUUGGACCUUGUCCCAAUAUCAGAGUCUCAGGGCCUGAGCCAUGAGGAUUCAGCAUCUCCAAGAUGUUCAGCCUGAGUGAGUUGGCAAACAGGAGUUUGCUGACUUGAGGCUGGGUGCCAGCCCAUCUCUUGGAGAGCAAGCUGCCAAGCUGUGCUACAGCGCCUUUGCAUGGCCACCCCACGGGCUCUUCCAGAAUUCUGCUCCAGGAGCUUAGCUCUUUUGACCUUUCCUGGGACUCAAGGCACAUCCUCAGCUUCUCUUCUUGAGCCCCCCACCCAACCCCUGCUCUCUAGCAGCUUUGGGGGCUGCACCAGUCUCUCCAUGGACUGACAAUAGAAACACCUGGGAGAAAAUGCCCAUGAGGAAGAUGGACUCAUCUUGAGGAAGAUGCCCAUGCUGCAGACGUGGAGACAUGUGAGAUAGACGAGGCUGGCACACUCCCCACAUCCCUGAGAAAGGCGGGAACUCACCAAAUCCCAACCCCUUAGCCUUCCGGAUCCCGCAGUCAGGCCUGAGGUGCAGAGCUGGGCUUGAGGCAGGGGCUUCGCUAAGAGCUGCAGGAAGGCCGAGGCCCAGGAUGUGUGCCCUUGCCUGCCACGCACAUUAUUUUGCUGGUGUUACUGCAUUGCCCAGAGGAAUGAGAAUUAGAAAUGUGAAUGUGUGCAAAUAAACUGGGGGGAAAAAAGACUUUGGGGAAAAUCUUCUCCCAGCUCAUUAAAAAAUCCCCCUGAAUCUCUCCAUUUCUUUCUCUAAACAUAAUUCUUUAUUAUUUUACAUUGUGCACACUAUUCAUGUUUACUGUUGAAAUAUUUUUUAACGUAUGAAUUUGUUUAUUUCACCUUGUGUCUUCUAUUCAGUAAUAAGACACUUGUAGAAAUCAUGACACUGUUGUUCAGAUACUCACAUUUCUCAGGUAAACUAACAUUUCCAUCUUGACCAAUAACUCCUUUGUUGCAAACAUUAAAUCUACAGCCAAAGACAAAUGGAAAAGUAGGAAUGACCAACAAGGAUAGACUAGGAAUGAGACACCCAUUUAUACUUUAUCAUUAUCUUAAUGCUGGUACUUUACUUCACACCCCAAAAAGUUACUUGGGAGCAGCCUUUGUUUUCAGCUAUUUUCACUUAUCUAUCCAUAAAAGAAUGGAUGUGUAACUAGCAGAUGGACUUUGGGACUCGCUCACAUAGCAUGGUGGUUUCCUGCUACCGGGAAGCACAGGUAGUUCUGAGCACUGGCCACGCCCCACUGAGCAGCACUUACCCUGUGUGUCCAUCUCUACAUAUGGAAGAUGAGAAAAGUAAUACCCGUCCCUUGGGUUUGCGGUGAGCAUGGAUGAGAUCAUCUACGUACAGCACUUAGCAAGGGUCCUGCCCCCAUGAAAACUCCAAUGCAUGUUGUUUCUCUGGGACCAGAGGGCACACAGCAGAAAGUGCCUUAGCCUCUCUGUCAAACGUUCUUUUCUAGCGAUUUCAUCAAGGUUGGGAACAGAGGGACAACCUUCACUCUGGAAGGUAAUUUCUCCCCUUUUCUCUAUGCCUUCUGGCUGAUCCAAGGAGUAGACUUCCCCACGGAAGUCUGACAAUCUCAGUGGCUUAGGAAAGUGCUCCUCCUAUGCGGGGUUGACAACCAAGUGGCCAAACCAAGGAGGGUCCCUGGGCUUGGCUUAUCCAGGUGAGUGGAGUGCGCGAGCUCCCCAGGACAGGGUGGAGCUGGAGGGCUGUCUUCCCUUCGACAGUAGCAGCUUUGAAGCACAUGUGGGUACUGUUAGUGCAAGUGGCAUGGGGCAUCUGGUGAAGGGCAGGGUAAGAUCUCACCAACUGUCAAUGUCAAAUGACGUCCCCAAGUCUCAUUUUGAUUGAGAUAGAAAAGACAUCAAAACCUAAUCUGUUAAAGCAUUGAUCUUAAUAAUAGUCGUAUUUUUCUAUAUCACCCGUAUCUGUAAGAAUUUUUGUAUUCAUGUGAGCUAAUUUGUGAGAUGAUCAAGGAAUAUGGAAAGACCAGGCCACCAAGCAUGAAAGUCUGAUUCUGUGGUUUAGUAUGAAACCUCAGAGGUUCUAGCAGUCCUUGGAGGGUCGUCCAAUCGCCCAAGUUUGACCUGGGUGGCACUUUAGACCUGGCAUGCCUCUUACUCUCAGUAUUCUGAGCUUACUCUCAGCUUUUGCAGCCAUCUGACUCUGACCUCAGAGCCAAGGGGCUGGAGACAGAGCUCGGUGAGGUGCUGGGGGAGAGUCAUUUCCAUUGUCCUCAUUACUUGAAGGAUGCAGGUUGAAAAUUCCCUGUUGGAAAUUCAUUAGCCUGGGAAAUAAAUAACGUGGAAGGCAUAGAGGAAAGUUGUUCACCAGUACCCAACCCCCACACCGACCAUACCAAACAGGUAUGUGGGAACCCAGGUGUGGGGCACAAUUUGACAAGUGGAGGUGCUCUCCGGCCAGUGCUCGCCAGGCAGCAACAGGAACCUUCGGUGGAGAAGCAGUGCCAGCAGGAUGGCUGGCCUACAGUGUAGACCGGCUUCCCAGGAAACAAGGCAAGUCCUGGCUCCACCACAUCUUUGGCAAGUGUCUAACCCUCUUUCUGUUUCAGACUGCUCAUGCUUUUUUAGCACAGGGUUUGACACAUAAUCAUAAGAGCAAAUACUGGAACAUUAUUGAUAUUAUUAGUCUCUCAGCUCCUGAAGCCAUCUCCAGCAAUCUUUCUCUGCCCCUGCACAUGGACUAAGGGUCUGGGUGGGAGAGGCAGGCACAGUUCUAUCUGGCUUACCCUGAACCCUUAAAGAAACUCCAGAGGGGGUCAGGUCUGUGAUGCUAGCGUAAUUGCCGAAGUUCCUCCGUCUCUUCAAACUUCCCUCCAGGACAUUCCCUCCGCAAGCCUUUCUCUCCCCUUCCUCGCCAUCUGGUUUGCUCUGAUACCUACACCUGCCGUGCUUCUGGAUGUCUGAGACAACCCUGCUUGCAAAGGUCUCAGGUACAGAACUUAGUCUUAUGUGGAAGAAAACACAGGGCUUCCCAAAGGUCUUACUGCAGGUUUAAACUGUAAUGGUGUUAGAAGUAUAAAUAAUACAAACUUAGAAAAGGCAACAUUGUAAAGGAUAAUAAUUUAAACAUUUAAGAUACUAAUAUCUUUGCUAUGGACAUUCAAGAUAACCACUGUCUUGUACUAGUGGUUCUAGUCCAUUUUCAAACUGCAGACAUGGAGAAGCAGCCACAGGAAGGUUGCCUUUGAAGAUCCUCCAAAGAACAUCCCGUGACGGAAGGUCUGAUGGAGACUGCCAGUGAACAACAAGACCUCUGCCAUGCUGCGGGUCUGGAUGAACAUCUGGACACGGUCUCACAUGCAGCCUAAAAGCUGAAAUGUAAUACUCAAAUCUGCAAAGCUGAAGAAAUGGGGAAUAUUUAAAUAAACUUCCAAAUGAUGAGUUC
rnacentral:antisense_RNA from 1 species